GAUGAACGCUGGCGGCGUGCCUAAUACAUGCAAGUCGAGCGAACAGACGAUGAGCUUGCUCUUCUGACGUUAGCGGCGGACGGGUGAGUAACACGUGGAUAACCUACCUAUAAGACUGGGAUAACUUCGGGAAACCGGAUCCACUACCGGAUAAUAUAAUGAACCGCAUGGAUCAAUAGUGAAAGACGGUUUUGCUGUCUCUUAUAGAUGGAUCCGCGCCGCAUUAGCUAGUUGGUAAGGUAACGGCUUACCAAGGCAACGAAGCGUAGCUGACCUGAGAGGGUGAUCGGCCACACUGGAACUGAGACACGGUCCAGACUCCUACGGGAGGCAGCAGUAGGGAAUCUUGCGCAAUGGGCGCAAGCCUGACGGAGCAACGCCGCGUGAGUGAUGAAGGUCUUCGGAUCGUAAAGCUCUUUUGUUAGGAAAGAAAAAAUGUGUAAGUAACUAUGCACGUCUUGACGGUACCUAAUCAGAAAGCCCCGGCUAACUACGUG
rnacentral:rRNA from 1 species